GAUGAACGCUGGCGGCGUGCCUAAUACAUGCAAGUCGAGCGAACGGACGAGAAGCUUGCUUCUCUGAUGUUAGCGGCGGACGGGUGAGUAACACGUGGAUAACCUACCUAUAAGACUGGGAUAACUUCGGGAAACCGGCGCUAAUACCGGAUAAUAUUUUGAACCGCAUGGUUCAAAAGUGAAAGACGGUCUUGCUGUCACUUAUAGAUGGAUCCGCGCUGCAUUAGCUAGUUGGUAAGGUAACGGCUUACCAAGGCAACGAUGCAUAGCCGACCUGAGAGGGGGAUCGGCCACACUGGAACUGAGACACGGUCCAGACUCCUACGGGAGGCAGCAGUAGGGAAUCUUCCGCAAUGGGCGAAAGCCUGACGGAGCAACGCCGCGUGAGUGAUGAAGGUCUUCGGAUCGUAAAACUCUGUUAUUAGGGAAGAACAUAUGUGUAAGUAACUGUGGACAUCUUGACGGUACCUAAUCAGAAAGCCACGGCUAACUACGUG
rnacentral:rRNA from 1 species